rnacentral:rRNA from 1 species
UACGUAGGGUGCGAGCGUUAAUCGGAAUUACUGGGCGUAAAGCGUGCGCAGGCGGUUUUGCAAGCCGGAUGUGAAAUCCGGCUUAACCUGGGAAUGGCAUUUGGGACUGCAAGGCUGGAGUGCGGCAGAGGAGACUGGAAUUCCUGGUGUAGCAGUGAAAUGCGUAGAUAUCAGGAGGAACACCGAUGGCGAAGGCAGGUCUCUGGGCUGACACUGACGCUCAUGCACGAAAGCGUGGGGAGCAAACAGG